rnacentral:rRNA from 1 species
UACGUAGGGUGCAAGCGUUGUCCGGAAUCAUUGGGCGUAAAGCGCGCGUAGGUGGCCUCAUAAGUCCGCUGUGAAAGUCAAAGGCUCAACCUUUGAAAGCCGGUGGAUACUGUGAGGCUAGAGUACGGAAGAGGCGAGUGGAAUUUCUGGUGUAGCGGUGGAAUGCGCAGAUAUCAGGAGGAACACCAAUAGCGAAGGCAGCUCGCUGGGACGUUACUGACACUGAGGCGCGAAAGCGUGGGGAGCGAACAGG